rnacentral:rRNA from 1 species
AACGUAGGUUCCGAGCGUUAUCCGGAUUUACUGGGCGUAAAGCGCGUUCAGGCGGUUCGGCAAGUCGGGCAUGAAAUCUCUCGGCUCAACCGGGAGAGGUUGUCCGAUACUGCUGGACUUGAGGGCAGUAGAGGGUGGUGGAAUUCCGGGUGUAGUGGUGAAAUGCGUAGAUAUCAGGAGGAACACCAAUUGCGAAGGCAGCUCGCUGGGACGUUACUGACGCUGAGACGCGAAAGCGUGGGGAGCAAACAGG